ACGACCUUACUUGAACAGGAUCUGUUCUAUAGGAUCGUACCGCUGCAUCCUUGACUAAUAAGGAGGCAAGCACUAAAGCUUGGUUGAUGACUGUAUGACCUGUGGGCCAGAGCGUGAUUAACGGCGAGGAUUAGAGCCUGUUGGUUCUGCCCGGAGCUGUAGAGGAUCGUUCUCGGUUAGGGUUUACCUGACUGGGGUGGCUCAUAGGUUGUCUGACAGGCU